rnacentral:rRNA from 1 species
CCUACGGGAGGCAGCAGUGAGGAAUAUUGGUCAAUGGGCGCGAGCCUGAACCAGCCAAGUCGCGUGAGGGAGGACGGCCCUACGGGUUGUCAACCUCUUUUGCCGGGGAGCAACGGGCGCCACGUGUGGCGUCACUGAGAGUACCCGGAGACAAAGCAUCGGCUAACUCCGUGCCAGCAGCCGCGGUAAUACGUAGGAUGCGAGCGUUAUCCGGAUUUAUUGGGUUUAAAGGGUGCGUAGGCGGAUCGUUAAGUCAGUGGUCAAAUUGCGGGGCUCAACCCCUUCCCGCCAUUGAAACUGGCGUUCUGGAGUGGGAGAGAAGUAUGCGGAAGGCGUGGUGUAGCGGUGAAAUGCAUAGAUAUCACGCAGAACCCCGAUGGCGAAGGCAGCAUGCCGGCUUCCGACUGACGCUGAAGCACGAAAGCGUGGGGAUCGAACAGGAUUAGAUACCCUUGUAGUC